rnacentral:rRNA from 1 species
CGUGUAGGCGGUCUGAUUAGUCUGAUGUGAAAGCCCUGGGCUCAACCCAGGAAGUGCAUUGGAUACUGUCAGACUUGAAUACGGGAGAGGGUAGUGGAAUUCCUAGUGUAGGAGUGAAAUCCGUAGAUAUUAGGAGGAACACCGGUGGCGAAGGCGGCUACCUGGACCGAUAUUGACGCCGAGACGCGAAAGCGUGGGUAGCAAACA